rnacentral:rRNA from 1 species
UGCGCAGGCGGUCUGAUAAGUCAGAGGUGAAAUAUGUCGGCUCAACCGGCAAACGGCCCCUGAAACUGCCAGACUUGGGUCCGGGAGAGGAUGGUGGAAUUCCUGGUGUAGCGGUGAAAUGCGUAAAUAUCAGGAGGAACACCAAUGGCGAAGGCAGCCAUCUGGCCCGGUACUGACGCUCAUGCACGAAAGCUAGGGGAGCGAACAGGAUUAGAUACCCUGGUAGUCC